GUGCCAGCCGCCGCGGUAAUACCGGCAGCACAAGUGAUGGCCGAUCUUAUUGGGCCUAAAGCGUCCGUAGCCGGCCGGACAAGUCCGUUGGGAAAUCCACCCGCCCAACGGGUGGGCGUCCGGUGGAAACUGCGUGGCUUGGGACCGGAAGGCGCGACGGGUACGUCCGGGGUAGGAGUGAAAUCCCGUAAUCCUGGACGGACCGCCGAUGGCGAAAGCACGUCGCGAAGACGGAUCCGACAGUGAGGGACGAAAGCUAGGGUCUCGAACCGGAUUAGAAACCCGGGUAGUCC
rnacentral:rRNA from 1 species